GAUGAACGCUGGCGGCGUGCCUAAUACAUGCAAGUCGAGCGAACAGGCGAGGAGCUUGCUCCUCUGACGUUAGCGGCGGACGGGUGAGUAACACGUGGAUAACCUACCUAUAAGACUGGGAUAACUUCGGGAAACCGGAGCUAAUACCGGAUAAUAUAUUGAACCGCAUGGUUCAAUAGUGAAAGACGGUUUUGCUGUCACUUAUAGAUGGAUCCGCGCCGCAUUAGCUAGUUGGUAAGGUAACGGCUUACCAAGGCAACGAUGCGUAGCCGACCUGCGAGGGUGAUCGGCCACACUGGAACUGAGACACGGUCCAGGCUCCUACGGGAGGCAGCAGAAGGGAAUCUUCCGCAAUGGGCGAAAGCCUGGCGGAGAAACGCCGCGUGAGUGAUGAAGGUCUUCGGAUCGUAAAACUCUGUUAUUAGGGAAGAACAAAUGUGUAAGUAACUAUGCACGUCUUGACGGUACCUAAUCAGAAAGCCACGGCUAACUACGUG
rnacentral:rRNA from 1 species